rnacentral:rRNA from 1 species
UGGGGAAUAUUGGACAAUGGGCGCAAGCCUGAUCCAGCAAUACCGCGUGUGUGAAGAAGGCCUGAGGGUUGUAAAGCACUUUCAAUUGGGAGGAAAACCUACCGGUCAAUACCCGGUAGCUUGACAUUACCUUUAGAAGAAGCACCGGCUAACUCCGUGCCAGCAGCCGCGGUAAUA